rnacentral:tRNA from 1 species
GCCCUCGUUGUCUAAUGGUUAUGACGUCAGACUUCUAAUCUGGAGGUUGCGGGUUCGAAUCCCGCCGGGGGUU